rnacentral:lncRNA from 1 species
UUUUUUUAUUUUUUCUUUCUUUUUUUUUUCUUUUUGUCUUUUGUCUUUCUAUGGCUGCACCCACGGCAUAUGGAGGUUCCCAGGCUAGGAGUCUAAUCGGAGCUGUUGCUGCUGGCCUACGCCAGAGCCACAGCAAUGCCAGAUCCGAGUAGUGUCUGCGACCUACACCACAGCUCACAGAAAUGCCAGAUCCUUAACCCACUGAUCAAGGCCAGGGAUCGAACCCACAACCUCAUGGUUCCUAGUCAGACUCAUUUCUGCUGCACCACAGUGGGAACUCCUGUUUCUAUUUUGUAGAUAGGUUCAUUUGUGCUGUAUUUUAGAUUCUACAUAUAAGUGAUAUCAAAUGGUAUUUGUCUCCAAAUACUAGUUUUUUAAGUACUUAAAAAAAUUUUUUUUUGGUUUAAAGUAGUAGCUCUCAAAUAUUUUCAUCUUGGGUCCUUUCUCCACUCUUAAAAUUUCUCGAGGAUCCCAAAGACCUUUUGUUUAUGUGGGUUCCAUCUCCUGAUAUUUACUGCAUUAGGGAUUAAAACUGAAAGAAUUUAAACGUAUUUAUUUGUUGAGUCAUUAAAAUGUCUGUCAUAAACUCACUUAAUACAAUUAACAUUUUCAUUAAAAAUAACCGUAUUUCCUAAAACAAAGUUUUAGUUAGAAAGGUGGCAUUAGUUCAAAAUUUUACAAAUCCCUUUAAUGUCUGGUUUGGUAAAAGACAGCUGAGCCUCAUGUUUGAGUCUGCAUUCAUCUGUUCGAUAUGCAAGUUGAUUGAAGUAUACAAAGAACAUACAGCCUCACGCAAAUGCAUAAUUGGAAAGCGGGGGUAUUUUAAUAGCCUUUACAGAUAAUCACAGAUACACUUCUUUGAUAGCACACCAACAUUUGACAAGUGGAAAGUGGGAUUUCUUGCAGGUUAAUUGCAAUGUGGACUAGGGAAGCACAACCAGCUUUUUGUGGUCUCCUACUAUAAAACCCAGUGGUCUUGCACUUGGAGUUGAUCUUUCAGCCAUGAGUGACUUUAUAAUAGCAUUCACUGAUGAUUGGAAAACCCUGAUCUGCAGAGUGAUGAAGCUCUGCCAGUUGUCCAGUUUUGAGUAUAGCAUCAAAAAUCCUAUCUGUUAAUAUCACUGUGAAGUUCACCAGAAAAAUCUUUAGGUAUCGGCAAGCUCCACCAGCAACACAAGUUCUCUGGAUUUCUCCUUUUCUCUCGAAAGGUCAGAUGUUAUCCCUGGCCUUUUCCCCUGUGUCGACACUGGCACUCCUGGUACAAAAGCAAUGGUGAGUGGCACUGCUGGUAUGAUUCAGAGCAGAGUCACAGCCGUGACGGCCACAUGGAGUGGCGGUCAUGACAUUCCUCGCCACCUUUCACUGACAGUGAGAGCAAAGAGACAAAUCCAGUUUCAGUUAAAGGGGUUCAGGAUGAAGCAAUAAAAAUCACUCAUUUUAUUAAACAUCCACCCUUUAGUGGUCUUUUUCAGAUGCCUUCUAAUGAAAUGGCCACAUAUGUACAUUGUAUUGCUGGUCUGUCCUGAGCCAGCAAUGGUGAGGCGGUAGUCAGCGCUGGGGUCCGACUGGGCCAAGCCCUUGACCAGGAUUCAUGGCACUAGGUGUCCGUGAUGGGCCAAAGAGCCAUCUUCUUGGAAGGAGUGAAGGAUUGUGUUGACAUUGUCCUUGGUGGAAGUGGGUUUGAAAGCAUUGCAGGUGACAUUUCUAUAUGGAAACUCCUCUGAAAGUUUGGGUUUUCCAAAUGAAAAAUGACUUUUGGGCUAAAGGGGCCUUUUUUUUUCUUCCAUUUUUUAAAUUGAAGUAUAGAUGAUUUACAAUGUUGUGAUAAUUUCUGCUAUACAACAAAGUGAUUCAGUUAUACAUAUGCAGACCUGCUCCAUAGCACAGGGAACUCUACCUAAUAUUCUGUGAUAACCUAUAUGGCCUUUUUUGUGCUUUCACUGAUGUCCACUUAGUAGUUGGACAAGGCUGCAGGGCACUGGUGGACGCCACGAGACUUAGGCACCUGCUAUGGCCAGUCUAUCCAGGAGGCACAUGCUGCUCCAAGCAAUACAGAAAUGCAGCCCCGAGGGAGUGUAUUUAUUCCAGCAGCCAGGUGUUUGGGCCUCAAGACCUCAUCAGGAACCAGAAAAAUAAUACUUUCCUAUUUGUCUCCCUUCAACUGAUCUGAAAUUCUUCAGGCAUUAUCUGUGAAUGCUGAGCCUUAAUGCUGCCUUUCAAACUAAUCAGCUAACAGGGCAGAUGUGCUUGUCUCCUGUGAGUCUCUCAUCGUUUCAAAGUGCCAGUUUGUAGUUUUAAUAUCUUCUCAAAUGUCAGGGCUCUGGCAUGAUGCUAAUUUUAGUCCCUUUCUAUCAUUCCCCCAUUGUUUAUAGAAACGGCAGAAACAUUCCCCUUGCUCAGUCAGGAGAUGCUGGGUGUUUCUUCACACGUGUCUUAAAGUUCUGAAUUCAUCUGGCUUCUGCAAGACUUUUUAUUUAUUUUUUAAAACUCAAGGGAGAUUAUCAACAAGAGGCAUUUGGUUCAUUGCUGUGAGCAGAUGUUGGAAGAGCAGGAUAUGCUCCGUUGUACAGGUUUUUCCUGCUUUCCAAUUCUUCACUAUUGUGAAGUCGCAAAGUACUAUUGAACUGUCAUUAAUGAGCUGCUUGGCUUAUUGAAUGCUAUGGUGUGCCUGUAAUUUGGCUUAAUCAAAUAGUGCUGCUUUAUUUCUUCUUAUAGCUGGAGGCCCACGAUGGUCUGGUGGUUUUGUGAUGUCCCAGGUCCCAGCCUCUGUCCAUUUUCCCUCCCACUCUUACCUUAUGACUUCUGUCUUCCUUUUGCCUCAUGGUUGCAAAGUGGAGGCUCCAGCUCCAGCCUUGUAGUCACUCUCCAGGCUGGGGGAAGAGGAGGAGCCAGCAGCCUACUUCCUUCAGAGGCCUUUCUCUCUUCUGAUUUGGGAGAGGAUGGUGUCUCCAGGGGUUUCUGCCUACAUCAUUUGGGCCAGAGCUAUCUCAUGAUCCUGUUCCCCACCCUUGCAUGUCCUGCUCACACAAGGGGGGUGGUGAGAUUGUGCAUUUCCAGUAGGACAUGUCUCUGCCCUAACCAAACCUGGGAUUUUGCAAUAAACAAUUGGGGGAAUAUUUAGUGUUCAGUCUGCCCAAGAUAGCGCAAUCUUGGUUAAGCUUGAGGUUAACCCAAUUCUCUUCUGAGUCUCCUGAUCAAGCCUUCCUUCAUCUGGUCCCGACUUUGAGUAAUUUGUGUUCCAGCUUCUGAUACAUGCUGCCCUUAAUGCUCAGUAUUUUUCCAAUUAACCUUAUGCCAUUUCUCACCCAGGGUUCUUAGCAGGUGGCAUGUAACUCUGUACAAAACCCUCCCUUGUCUUGAUGCCAGCUUCAAGGCUGUGUGUUACACUGUGCCAACAAAAUCCAUGGGUCCUCAUUUUGGAAACUGAUUCACAUUCCACGUUUGUCUCAUAGCCACGAGUCUCCAGUUUUCUAGCCUCUGUUUCCAUUUUCAUCCUCAGUAUCUGGAUUUUUUUUAAUGAGAUUUAUCCCCUCAGACCUUCCAUCUCAUAAACCUUUUUUAUGAGAUUUAUCCCCUCAGCACUUCCACCACCCAUUCUGACGUCAGUUUUGUUCUAUGGACCAUAAGAAAGUUAUGCAUCCCAUGACCCAUAAAUACCUCUUAGAAAGUCUCAAAAGCUUUAAGCAGUGGUCCUCCCUGGAGAUCCCAAGGAGAGCUCGUGCUCGGUGUUUUCUCUAUGAUGUGCAGAGCCCCUGAGUAAGUACACUCUAACCCCCUUCCCUGAACUUAAUGUACUUCCAUCGUCAAGGGAGCCUGAGAGAGGCUCAGAUGGAGGAUUUUCCCUCUAGUCAUUGCUGCAGUUCAGGGAGGACUAAGGCAAUGAGUUGGACAGGAAACCUGACUUAGUAGUUUUCUUUCCAAGUCGGAUGACUGCUGGGAGAAGUGGAGGAUUCUGGAGCUGGAAGGGGAUCUGGACAGUGCGGAUCAAAUGCCUGAGUUUCUCAGAUGAGGAUGCCUAGCUUGGGAGAGUGGGUUAUUAGAGAUCAUGUUGGAAAUCAGGGCAGAUCUAGGCUUAGAAUCCAUGGUUUUUUUCAUGCUGGUUGUAGGGCUUUGUUCUUACAUUAAUUUUUUUGGGGAAAGUUUAUCUUUCUAUGCCUGUCCCCUUCACUUAGGAAGCUGGGACUACCAAAAGCCUCUUAGCUCAAAGAGCAGGGACUAUCUCUGAGAUGCCCAGCCCGACCCCUGCCUGAUACCAACAGGGAGAAUCGAAGUUUUUGUGAAGACGUUAAAGGAUCUGAAUUAAAUCUUAUCUAUUUUUAUCCCCUCCCCCUUUCUUUCUUUUUAUGGUCACACUUGCGGCAUAUGGCAGUUCCCGGGCUAGGGGUCAAAUUGGAGAUGCAGCUUAGGCCCAUGCCACAGCCAUGGCAACACCAGAUCUGAGCUGCAUCUGUGACCUAUGCCGCAGGUUGUAGCAAUGCUGGAUCAUUAACCCACUGAGCGAGGCCAGGGAUCAAACCUCCAUCCUCACGGACAAUGUGGAGACAAUGAUGGGUCCUUAACCUGAUGACCCACAAUGGGAACUCCUAAACCUUAUAUUUUCUAUCAUUUUGAGCACCUAAUUCUCCCCUCUUUCUGCAUUUAAAAAGUAUUUUGUUACUAUACAUUGUAUCAUCGCGAUUGCUUUAUGUAAUUAAACUGGAAGAAAAAGAAGUGUUGAGGCUCAAAGGAACGUCGUCAGAAAUAUGUUUCAUUGACUUUAGUGACUUGCUUUAUCUAGUGCAAAAGUUUUCCAGUAUUCAGAGAGAUCAGUUACAUCCCAGAUUUUCUUAAUUGCACUUUACUCUUGAGUGCAAUUAAAAGCAUCAGUGCUGGACCAUUUAAUGCUCGUAUUCUAAGGUUUCAUGGGCAAAUCCUAUGGAUGGAGUUUUAUGAUUGAGAGGGUGCUUUUAAAACAUCCAGAGACCUGGUCCCCCUUCCUUUCUCUUUUUUCUUUUUUGGCCUCACACAUGGCAUGUGUGGGUUCCCAGGCUAGGGAUCAAACCUGUCCUAUAGCAGCAACAAUGCCAGAUCCUUAACCCUUUGAGCCACCAGGGAACUCCUGCCACUUCCUUUUCCUAUACCUUCCUGAUUCUGGAUUAAUUGGUGUCAGGCGUGUGCUGGGCAUUGGCAUUAUCAGAAGAUAAGGAAGCAAGUAACAGUAAUAGCAAUAAGAUAAAAUGCCCAGGUGAUGCUAAAAUGAAGUUAGGACAGAAACAUUUUUGUGUGUUUAUCAAAAUAUUGCUUAAAUUGAAUUAAUCAGUUUUCAGGAACUUUGACACAUAUUUUAUUUUGCCACGUGAAAUAUUAAGCAUAGGUCAUUUAGCCUGAUUUAUCUGAAGACAUACUUACGACAUCCCUGGUCAAUUUACAUACUGUACUAACAGUCUUAUCCACAGUCAUGGUUUUGUUAUAACUGUCCUUUAGGGCAAAAUUUUCCAUCACACCCUGUUGAGGGAAGGCUGGACUGAGAAGCAGAGAUGGUCAGAUUUCAUGUGUCAUCAAAUUAUUCAAACCAUUAUUUAACAAAAAUAAUUAGUUCUCUGGCAGAUAAUGAUAGUUUCCCCUCAAUAUCCAUUCUCUCUUCUUCUUUAAUCAUAGAACUUCCGAAUGCUAGCUGGGCAUGUAAUUUCCCAAGACAAAAAUGAAAUUCCCCAAUCUCUUUCACAGCUGGUAGGACCAUUUGAUUAAAUUCUAGUCCAAGCGAUGUGAACAGGAGCAGAAGUAGUAUAGGCACCUUCCAGGAAGCAGCCUUAAGAGGAGGGGGCCUGUGCCUUUUCCACGUCCCUUCUGGCUCCUUGCUUCUGGACGUGGUGCUAGAGCCGAGGAUUCCGUCUUGAUCAACAAGAUCACUGCCGUGUGGUGAGAAUAGGCACGAUCCUAGCCAUGGUGGAGCCCUUGCACCUUGUCUGCGUGAGAGAGAAAUCAGCCAUUUCCUGCUUCAGCCGCCGUUAUUCCGGGCUUUCUGUUGCAUUACACUCAAAGCGCACUUAUCACCCAUUCUGAACUAUAGUUGGAUGUGGCAGCCCUGAUUGAGGAGGACCACGUUGAACAGAGGGUCUAAGUACACAAAUGGAUUC